CCUCUCCAAGAUGAUGAGGUCGUUACAUACAUCCUAGCUGGCCUUGGGUCAGAAUUUGACCCCCUGGUGACAUCCAUCAGCACCAGAAUUGAUCCUAUUAGUCUCAUUGAUUUAUAUGCCCACCUUCUGAGCUACGAAA